rnacentral:sRNA from 1 species
UGUCAUUGGGCUCUUCUUAACCACAGUCUGAUGGUGGUUUAAGGCCACACAUCUUUGUUGCAAAAAGAGCGAAGAAAUAAAAACAAAUUUUCCAUUCAGCCAUACAUGCAUAUACGAGUACAGGUUGGCAAAAAAAAGAAAAACAAUUUCAGGAUUUUUAUAUGCCUCACCGCCUGAUAGGAAGUUAAAAACGCCUCAGCCUUUAUCGCUUAAUAACAUAUAGAGGCAAUAGAUGAAUGGAUAUACAUUAGGUCAAACUCAUGAUGACCCCAAAUCGAGGUAUUGAUUUUUAUUGAGGAAUGGGGACCCUAACCGCUCUAGAAGUGAAAUCGAGUAUCAAGUUAGGGGUCAAUUCACUACAUAGCUGGCAUAAACAAAAUGGUGGCCCCUCUAGGGACUUUAGAAAAAUCAUUUGCUCAUUUGUAUUGCCGCAAUCGACUUAAUAUAUAAACCAAUAAGGAAAGGGAAAAGUCGGGCGCUGACGCUGAACACCUGGGUUCGAAACCUGGCGAG